GAUGAACGCUGGCGGCGUGCCUAAUACAUGCAAGUCGAGCGAACAGAUGAGGAGCUUGCUCCUCUGACGUUAGCGGCGGACGGGUGAGUAACACGUGGAUAACCUACCUAUAAGACUGGGAUAACUUCGGGAAACCGGAGCUAAUACCGGAUAAUAUAUUGAACCGCAUGGUUCAAUAGUUAAAGACGGUUUUGCUGUCACUUAUAGAUGGAUCCGCGCCGCAUUAGCUAGUUGGUAAGGUAACGGCUUACCAAGGCAACGAUGCGUAGCCGACCUGAGAGGGUGAUCGGCCACACUGGAACUGAGACACGGUCCAGACUCCUACGGGAGGCAGCAGUAGGGAAUCUUCCGCAAUGGGCGAAAGCCUGACGGAGCAACGCCGCGUGAGUGAUGAAGGUCUUCGGAUCGUAAAACUCUGUUAUUAGGGAAGAACAACUGUGUAAGUAACUAUGCACGUCUUGACGGUACCUAAUCAGAAAGCCACGGCUAACUACGUG
rnacentral:rRNA from 1 species